CAACUGUUCUGAAUUACUGCCAAUCUUGCCAUUUCAAGCACAAUGAAAUAUCUUCAAAACCCACUGGCUGGUACAGUCCACCUUAGCGUCUCCACUUGCCCAGAUUUCACUGCCAGCACUUGGUGGGGGUAGCUGACCAAUCUACUCCAUCCUCUGUUGUGGUCCUCAUCCUGCAUCUUUGCAGAUGCUGAGGUGCCCGUGGGGCCCCAGCUGGACUCCAGCCUCAGCUUCACUGGCCCUGCCAGGGUCUGGAGUUUGGGUGCUCAUUGUCCCCCCAGCCUGAGUCCCCAGAGUGGUACUGUUGGGCCUCAGGGAACUUCCUGGGAUCCCUGGCAGCAUGCCCCGGAAAGGCCGUUCUUUGGUUGAGUUUGGCUGGACCAUUGGUCUACCUCUGCUUCCCAGCUCACUGAGUGCUCCUCCCCUGCCCUCCACCAGGGGGCCCUCAUGGAGCCCCAGCCUGCAUCUUGCUCUUUGGACUCAGAACCCCUGUGAACUAAAUAAACCUUUUGUA